UAAUAACAUCUAACAUUUACAGUGAAAUAACAUUGUUUUAGAUUCCCUACAGGAUGCCUGUUAAAAAGAAAAACUGAAGAAACUUUAAAACUAGAUGUUGGCAACUGAAGAAGUUGAAACACCGUUAUUCAUGGUGUCAUAUCGAGGCUUCAGUUCUCCAUUUGUUAGUUAUAUGCAAGAUAUGGCAUGGUAUGGCACACUGCAUGUUUAUAAAAUUAGUGUAAAAGUGGAUGAAAGCACUAGAGAAGCAAAAUGAUAAAUUUUAACGCAGAUUUUUGUCCUGUGAUUAUGGUGGCGAUGAGAGAACUACAGUGGAAGAAUAUUACUAUCGUUAAACAGUUUUGCAUCAAAUCGUUGUAUAAUAUUAUUUUUUUGUUGCUUAAAAAUAUUAUGAAACUUAAA